AGUCGAACGGUAACAUAAAGAAGCUUGCUUCUUUGAUGACGAGUGGCGGACGGGUGAGUAAUGCUUGGGAAUCUAGCUUAUGGAGGGGGAUAACUACGGGAAACUGUAGCUAAUACCGCGUAGAAUCGGGAGAUGAAAGUGUGGGACCUUCGGGCCACAUGCCAUAGGAUGAGCCCAAGUGGGAUUAGGUAGUUGGUGAGGUAAAGGCUCACCAAGCCGACGAUCUCUAGCUGGUCUGAGAGGAUGACCAGCCACACUGGGACUGAGACACGGCCCAGACUCCUACGGGAGGCAGCAGUGGGGAAUAUUGCGCAAUGGGGGCAACCCUGACGCAGCCAUGCCGCGUGAAUGAAGAAGGCCUUCGGGUUGUAAAGUUCUUUCGGUAGCGAGGAAGGCAUUUAGUUUAAUAGACUAGGUGAUUGACGUUAACUACAGAAGAAGCACCGGCUAACUCCGUGCCAGCAGCCGCGGUAAUACGGAGGGUGCGAGCGUUAAUCGGAAUAACUGGGCGUAAAGGGCACGCAGGCGGUGACUUAAGUGAGGUGUGAAAGCCCCGGGCUUAACCUGGGAAUUGCAUUUCAUACUGGGUCGCUAGAGUACUUUAGGGAGGGGUAGAAUUCCACGUGUAGCGGUGAAAUGCGUAGAGAUGUGGAGGAAUACCG
rnacentral:rRNA from 1 species